rnacentral:rRNA from 1 species
GAUGAACGCUAGCGGCAGGCCUAAUACAUGCAAGUCGAACGGUGUCUUCGGACAUAGUGGCGCACGGGUGCGUAACACGUAUGCAACCUACCUUACAUUGGGGGAUAGCCUUUCGAAAGGGAGAUUAAUACCGCAUAAGACAGUAGCUGGGCAUCCAGCAGCUGUUAACGAUUUAUCGAUGUAAGCUGGUCAUGCGUCCAAUUAGCUAGUUGGUGAGGUAACGGCUCAACAAGGCGAUGAUUGGUAGGGGAACUGAGAGAUCAAUCCCCCACACUGGCACUGAGAUACGGGCCAGACUCCUACGGGAGGCAGCAGUAGGGAAUUUUGGACAAUGGGCGCAAGCCUGAUCCAGCAAUGCCGCGUGCAGGAUGAAGGCCUUCGGGUCGUAAACUGCUUUUGUACGGAGCGAAACGGCUUCCACUAAUACUGGGGGCUAAUGACGGUACCGUAAGAAUAAGCACCGGCUAACUACGUGCCAGCCGCCGCCGUAAAAC